GAGGAAUAUUGGGCAAUGCCCGCAAGGGUGACCCAGCAACGCCGCGUGGAGGAUGAAUGUCGUAAGAUUGUAAACUCCUGUUAGAGGGGAAGAAUAGUACCGGUUGGACCGGUAUAUGACUGUACCCUCAGAGAAAGCCCCGGCUAACUACGUGCCAGCAGCCGCGGUAAUACGUAGGGGGCAAGCGUUAUCCGGAUUCACUGGGUUUAAAGGGUGCGUAGGUGGGUAUGUAAGUCAGUGGUGAAAUCCCCGAGCUUAACUUGGGAACUGCCAUUGAUACUAUAUAUCUUGAAUACCGUAGAGGUAAGCGGAAUAUGUCAUGUAGCGGUGAAAUGCUUAGAUAUGACAUGGAACACCAAUUGCGAAGGCAGCUUACUAUGCGGUGAUUGACACUGAGGCACGAAAGCGUGGGUAGCAAACA
rnacentral:rRNA from 1 species